rnacentral:tRNA from 2 species
GCCCCCGUCGUCUAGAGGCCAAGGACACCACCCUUUCAAGGUGGCGACACGGGUUCGAAUCCCGUCGGGGGCA